rnacentral:tRNA from 2 species
GGAAACGAUCAAAAGCUAAAGUUUUGAUUUGUAUAGUUAACUCGGCAGUCUUGAAAACCGGCGAACGUUAAUAGCGUUCCCAGGGUUCGAAUCCCUGGUUUCCCACCA